rfam:Schistosoma mansoni, Puerto Rico, WGS project CABG01000000 data, contig: 0077
AUCCAUCUGACGAAUCCCAAAUAGGACAAGACGCUCGUCCUGGAU